rnacentral:tRNA from 1 species
GGUAAGAUGGCUGAGAAAAAAGGUAAUAGAUUGUAAAUCUAUUAAGGAGAUUAAAUCUUUUUUACCA